CAACGUGAGCAACCUGCCGGUUGGUGGGGGAGUAACCCAUGGAAACGUGGGCUAAUACCGCAUUCGCUCUUCUUGCCGAUGGCGGGGAGAGGAAAGGUGCUGCAAGGCACCGCCAAUCGAGGGGCUCGCGGCGUAUCAGCUAGUUGGUGGGGUAAAGGCCCACCAAGGCAACGACGGGUAGCUGGUCUGAGAGGAUGAUCAGCCACACUGGAACUGAGACACGGUCCAG
rnacentral:rRNA from 1 species